rnacentral:lncRNA from 1 species
CCGCUGCAAGGCCACCAUCUACCUGUGGAAAUGGGACGACAAGGUGGUCAUCUCUGACAUCGACGGCACCAUCACCAAGUCAGAUGCUCUGGGCCAUAUCCUGCCCCAGCUGGGGAAAGACUGGACACACCAGGGCAUCACCAGUCUCUAUCACAAAAUCCAACUAAAUGGGUACAAGUUCCUGUACUGCUCGGCGCGGGCCAUUGGCAUGGCGGACCUCACCAAGGGGUACCUGCAGUGGAGAGGUGAUCGAGAAGAAACCAGAGGUGUUCAAGGUCGCCUGCCUGAGUGACAUCCAGCAGCUGUUUCUGCCCCACGGACAGCCCUUCUAUGCUGCCUUUGGGAAUAGGCCCAAUGAUGUCUUUGCCUACCGGCAGGUGGGCCUGCCUGAGUCACGCAUCUUCACAGUCAACCCCCGGGGAGAGCUCAUCCAGGAGCUCAUAAAGAACCACAAAUCCACGUAUGAGCGGCUUGGUGAAGUGGUCGAGCUCCUCUUCCCACCUGUGGCCCGUGGCCCCAGCACAGACCUGGCCAACCCUGAAUACAGUAACUUCUGCUACUGGCGGGA